UCCCUUUGCACAAAUAUUGAUCCAAGGCUGUUCAAAUAUCCAUCCUGGCUGGAAUAGCAGCAGUGUGAUAUUGCUGCUGGAGCUGCACAAGGACAUCGGAGGGGAAGGGAACGGGGAAAGAAAGGAGAGCUGGGUAGAGCUGCAGGUUGGCCAUCCGUGUUCUCGCCUUCUCCCCUCCCUUCACAGCUUAAAUUUCUCUUUAUUGACAUUUGUCUCACUGGGCCAAGCAAUCUUUCAAAGGAGAGGGAAGCAACAGCGUUGUUCCACCCUGGGCAUUCAUUAGACGAUAUUGUUUCAGCACUUGAGUUGUCUGAGCAGCCCGGGCAGCGUUUAGGAGAAGGUUAAAUAGAGCUGUUGAGUUCUGGGCAAAUAAAUCUCCCUUUGCCAGCUCGAAACAGAGGAGAACUCCUGCUCUCCUGCCUCUUGCCCAGAAGAAGAGCAGUCAGAGCAGCUCCUUUGCCGAGGGAACGUGAGCAGGGCUGGUUCUGUCCCUCAGCAGCACAAAACCAGUCAGGCUGAGGAGACGCUGAGGUUUUAACCCACCCCAGUGGGUUCUGAGCAUGCCCUGCUUGAGGCGAGACGCUCGCUCCCUCUGCCCGGUGGGCUCCAUCUCGCUCCACGCCAGGGCUCUCCAGAAUUCCUUCUCCGUCAAUAAUAAUGAGAAGCCUCUGUAAAUUAGCUGAUUAGUCAGCUCCCCCUAAUUAGCUAAUUACCCCGCUCUGCUUUCGCUUGUGCUCUCCCGUUGUUUCCCCAACCUCAGGUUGAAGGAACGAGCGCGCACGUGGCUGCGCCGAGAUCUUAUCCUGCUUUGAAGGCUUUAAACUUGCAUGAUUCAGCCGUGCAGGGCUGACACGUGCUCGACCUUACACAACUUCUCUCUUCCAACCCUUUUGUGUCGAGUGCUGUACCUGCCUCUUGUGCCAGGGACUGGGAGUCUCCAGUGCCGGCUUAUGCAACCGUUCCCUCCUCCGUCCCCGCUGCCAGCAGCUAUUCCCGUUAAACUCCGAUCCGUCUUCCUGCUCCGCGUGACAUCGCGCCGUUGCCUACGGAUCCGGCAGGUUUCCCCCAGAGCUGGAGGAGAGGGGAUGUGUUGUCUGGAGCUAGCGAGGUGUGAAGGCACGAUAGCAGCCGUGCAGGGUCAGACCAGGCGUUCCCCAAACACGAGAUCCCCGAUCCUGGGAUGUGUUCCUGGAAACCUGUUUUGUAACAGCACAGCAGAUUCACCUGCUGCUCCAGCUUCUUCCAGCUGCCUGUGGGAUUCCUGAGGAGGAAAGGCCACUCUUGCCACCUCUUGUGUAGAGUUGUGAAUACCUGUGUGUGUUGCUUCAAGAGCAAACAUCUGCAGCUCCCCCCUGCUCCGCAGCACAGAGAGGAACAGGAGCAGCACGGAGCAGGAGGAUGGGCUGCCUGGUCCCUUGCCAGGUGAGUUGGCAGGAUCCUGCACAUCACUCCCUCAAAGUCUCCACGGGGUUUGAUGGAUGCUCGCGGCUCAGAACAUUUUGGGUCUGUUUAAUUGGCAGCUUUUGACGAGCAGCCGCUUGGGC
rnacentral:lncRNA from 1 species